UACGUAGGGUGCAAGCGUUAAUCGGAAUUACUGGGCGUAAAGCGUGCGCAGGCGGUUAUGCAAGACAGAUGUGAAAUCCCCGGGCUCAACUUGGGAACUGCAUUUGUGACUGCAUAGCUAGAGUGCGGCAGAGGGAGAUGGAAUUCCGCGUGUAGCAGUGAAAUGCGUAGAUAUGCGGAGGAACACCGAUGGCGAAGGCAAUCUCCUGGGCCUGCACUGACGCUCAUGCACGAAAGCGUGGGGAGCAAACAGG
rnacentral:rRNA from 1 species